UUCAUUUCCACAAACUUGUAUCAUUCGUCAUCUACUUUUAUAUCUACACGUUAUUAGUUCCCAACAUAGCAUGCGAAAAAAAAAACAAAAACAACAUAGCAUGCAGUGUUCUUGAAAAAAAAAACAAAAACAAAAAAAAACAUAGCAUGCGGUGUUUUAUAUCUUACACGUUAUGGUGGUGUUGUCUCAUUCGAUACAUUCAAAGUAUAACGACAAGUUUCGGAAAUUUUCUUCUAACGAUUUAUGGGAAGAUUAAACAUGAUCAUUGGACUAGAGGAAACGAACCAACUCUGGUGUAAGGCUAAUAGAGUUGAGGAAGCGAUUCAGGACAUGGAUUUAGUCCUUGUGUUAAUUAUUAGCUACACGACUGAUUUAUUUAUAAGGUGGUGUUAACUGUUAAUAUUGGCCAGCAGUGUAACUUCAUUAAGAUGCUUAGUGAGAUGGGGGUCUCCUCCUUAAUUAUGUGUUACUUACACCAACUAUAAUGUCUUCUUGUCUGUCGUCCUAACCUGUAUCUUUUUGUUCAUGGGCGUUAAUCAACUUGUAUAGAUCAUUAAGGUUUUGGGAACACCACCAACAAAGGGAAGAAAUAUAUCAAAUGCAUUCAAUACUGUCCCAGUCUCCGUUCUCGAUACAUUGGUCCACCCGUUCUUUGAUGAGCUUAGAGAUCCCCUAAUGCACGUUUCUUUCCUUCCACCAGUAUUCAACUUCAAGCCUCAUGAGCUUAAAGGUGUGCGCGUGCCCGUGGAGAUAAUGGCUAAGUUAGUACCUGAACAUGCAGAGGAAGCAGGGUCCAUGGCUGGGUUUGUGAUUUUAUCUGCUGUUAACUUGAUUUUCUUUUCUCUUGGGCUUUGAACAUUCAUAUUACUAUUACAUUGUGAAUAUUGUAUAUUUCUUUUGUUAUCAUACAAUUACUACCCAAGUUAUGGAACUUAAAUAGCUCCUUUAUACA